rnacentral:rRNA from 1 species
UACGUAGGGUGCAAGCGUUAAUCGGAAUUACUGGGCGUAAAGCGUGCGCAGGCGGUUUUGUAAGUUUGUCGUGAAUGCCCCGGGCUCAACCUGGGAAUUGCGAUGAAGACUGCAAGGCUUGAAUCUGGCAGAGGGGGGUAGAAUUCCACGUGUAGCAGUGAAAUGCGUAGAGAUGUGGAGGAACACCGAUGGCGAAGGCAGCCCCCUGGGUCAAGAUUGACGCUCAUGCACGAAAGCGUGGGGAGCAAACAGG